UGGCCAUGCACAGUUUAAGGUAACGGAG
rnacentral:piRNA from 1 species